GGGGGUACCAAAAUAAAAGGCGGGGCUGGAACCUCUCGGGGUUACAGCCUUGCUGAAUUAUUCACCCUUGUCUUUUGCGUACUUCUUGUUUCCUUGGUGGGUUCGCCCACCACUAGGACAAACAUAAACCUUUUGUAAUUGCAAUCAGCGUCAGUAACAAAUUAAUAAUUACAACUUUCAACAACGGAUCUCUUGGUUCUGGCAUCGAUGAAGAACGCAGCGAAAUGCGAUAAGUAGUGUGAAUUGCAGAAUUCAGUGAAUCAUCGAAUCUUUGAACGCACAUUGCGCCCUUUGGUAUUCCAAAGGGCAUGCCUGUUCGAGCGUCAUUUGUACCCUCAAGCUUUGCUUGGUGUUGGGCGUCUUGUCUCUAGCUUUGCUGGAGACUCGCCUUAAAGUAAUUGGCAGCCGGCCUACUGGUUUCGGAGCGCAGCACAAGUCGCACUCUCUAUCAGCAAAGGUCUAGCAUCCAUUAAGCCUUUUUUUCAACUUUUGACCUCGGAUCAGGUAGGGAUACCCGCUGAACUUAAGCAUAUCAAUAAGCGGAGGAA
rnacentral:rRNA from 1 species